ACCCAGCAGUUUAUUUUUGUAAAGGUUUAUUUUUAUUUAUUUGAAAUGCAGAGAGAGAAACAGGGAGACAGAGAGAGAUCUUUGAUCUGCUGAUUCACUUGCCAAACAGCUGCAAUGGCCAGGGCUGGGCCAGGUGACAGCCAGGAGCCUGGAACUCCAUCCAGGUCUCCCACAGGCAUGGCAGGAACCCAAGGACUUGGGCCAUCUUCUGCUUCUUUUCUAGGUGCAUUAGCAGGGAGCUGGAUUGGAAGUGGAGCAGUCAGGACUCGAACCAGCACUCACAGGGGAUAACAUACUCCUAUGGGUGUUGCAGGUGGCAGCUUAGCCUGCUGUGCCACCACACCAGCCCCCAAAUCAGGACUUCUGAGUGGAGAGAGCAAAGCAAAUAUAUUUGUCUAUUCGCAAUCCCAGUAACACGACGGCAGAGAUGUGUUUCCUAAAGGCAGAAAGGAAUCCACAAAUGGCAUUGUACUGCAGACACUGGAUGGAGAGAGUCAUUCUAUAGCUUUGUGUAUCUUUUUUGUGUGUCCAAAAUACUGCACUGUAAAGACACUGGAGAGUGUACACCCACACGGCGGCACAGCAGGCAGCCCUAACAAUGCAGUGCUGCUGUGCACACCGCAGAUCAACCUUGCAAACACGCUCCCUGGAGGAAGCCAGGCAUGUUGCAGUCUGUGCGCUCUCCCGGGGGAGGAGGCCCCAUGCCAGGUGGGAGCUCUGCCUGACUAGGGCACUCCCUCCGUGUGGACCAGCUAGUCCCAUCUUCCCAGCCCCACCCCGGCCCUUCCGCCUCUGCUCCCACUUCUCUCUGCCUGCUGGGUCUGCUCCGUGGAGAUGCCUGUCCUGGUGGGAGGGAUGCCACGCCUUUCCCUUGGUCCAGAAAACUUCAUUUUGGGGACCAGCACUGUGUGGUGUAGUGGAUAAAGCUGGCCUGGAUGCCGGCUUCCCAUAAGGACACUGGUUUGAAUCCCAGCUUCUCCACUUCCGAUCCAGCUCCCUGAUAAUGUACCUAGGGAAGCAUGGCGAGCCCCCCAAGUGCUUGUGCCCCUGCACCCACUGCGGGGAGUGAACCAGCGGAUGGAAGAUCUCUCUCUCCCUCCCGCUCCCUUUAACUCUGCCUGUCAAGUAAAUAAAAAUAAAUAUUUUUUUAAAACCCUCAUUUUCUAUUGUUAAUAACACAGUGCCACAGACUCGUCCACUAGGUAGAAAACGGGUUUGUUUUGGCUCUGGUUCUGGUCCAAGGUCGAGGGGCUGCAUCUGAUGCUGGCCCUGCUGUCAGGGUCCUGAGGUGGCACAGGGCAUCACAUGUGACAGAAGCGUGCAAGAGACCAAGCCACACAGACUUCACUUACCCAUCAGUCAAACGAAGGGAUCAAUUCAUGGAUCCAUUGCCUUUUCCAGACCCCACCUGCUCCCGCUCAGCAUUAAUGUCUCAGUGGAGAGUAAAUCACAACCCAAGUUUUGGAGGAAAGAAGCCACAUUCAAACCACCGCAAAUCCAGUAGUAAGAAUUUCACACUACCACUGAAACCUAAAAGACUGUCUGUAAUUUUUUUAAAAGCUUACUUAAUCUUUUUUAAAAAUUUAUUUAUUUGAGAGGCAGAGUUACAGAGAGAAAGAGAGACAGAGAGAAAGGCCUUCUAUCUGCUAGUUCACUCCCUAAAUGUCUGCAUCAGCCGGAGCUGAGCCAAUCUGCAGCCAGGAGCCAGGAGCUUCGUCCGGGUCUCCCAUGUGGGUGCAGGGCCCCGAGCACUUGGGCUAUUUUCUGCUGCUUUCCCAGGCCAUAAGCAAAGAGCUGGAUCAGAAAAGGAGCAGCCGGGAUACAAACUGGCACCCCUAUGGGAUGCUGGUGCUGCAGGCAGAGGCUUAACUUACUAUGCCACAGUGUGGGCCCCUAUGUAAACUACUUGAAAGGCAGAACAGCAGAGAGAGAGAAUCUUCCAUCCACUGGUUCACUCCCCAAAUGUCUGCAAUAGCCAGAGCUGGGCCAGGCUGAAGCCAGAAGCCAGGAACAUCAUCGCCAUCUCCCACGUGGGUUACAGGGGCCUAGGCCCUCGAGCCAUCUUCCGCUGCCUCCCAAGGAUGCUGGAUCCAAAGAGUAGCAGGGACUCAAACUGGCACUCUGAUACGGGAUGCUGGCGGUCUAAGCAGCAGGUUAAACCACUGCACCACGGUGCCUGCCCCAUCCAUGGUUUUUAAAGGCCUGUUUACAACUGUAUCUGACACCCACAAUUUUGCCACACCCCCAGGUAUAAUUAGUAACUAUAUGUUAGAGUUUGCCCUCACUUUUUUUUUUUUUUAACUUUGUCAGUUGGCUGCAGUUAGCAUCCUAAACUAUGGUGGAUAGAGGUAGGGUUCUUCAAUCAGCAUUUUGUUUUUCAAAAAAUGUGGGCAUUGUAUGUUGUGGGUGGUGGUGACAGGGCCGUUCUGGAUCUUGAUUGCGGAGGUGGUUACAAAAAUAUGUAUCUGAUAAAGCUCGCACAGCUGUCCACUGAGAACAUGAAGUUUUACUUUAAAACUUAACCAUAAUUAAAGCUAAGUUUUUUAAGUAGGGGAGAAAAAUAACGCAGAUUUUGCAUGUGCUAGCUCUGAGUGACUUUGGACCCAGUUGUGUAAUUCAAGUUCUCCUGGGUGCCCCCAAAUAACCCAGCCUCUGGGACAAGCAGAGGGGCUGCGCUGGAGACCGCGUGUGGGAUUGAGAGGAGAGAUCAGCUUUCCAACGGCCUCGGCUUCAAUAUCCGCUGCCUCUUCCCCUCUGCGGCUCCUCCCUGCCUCCUCAAGAACCUCACCUCCCACUCAACCUCACAUCCUCUCCCUGGGUCACGAACAGCAGGUCACAUCACCCGCUCUGGGGCUUCAUCCACCACCCGUUGGCUGACGAAGUCCAAAAUCUGCACCCAGCUCUUUCCUCUGAGUUCUAGCCUCAUGUGUCUGUCCAACAGCCCAUUCAGCGCCCUGGUUAUUCAGGAAUCCCUGGGACACUAGGCUGGCUGACCCUCAAGAAAGGGAGCUGGGGCCAGCACUGUGGUGCAGUGGGUUAACGCCAUGGCCUGAAGCACCGGCAUCCCAUAUGGGCGCUGGUUCAAGACCUGGCUGCUCUACUUCUGAUCCAGCUCUCUGCUGUGGCCUGGGAAAGCAGUAGAAGAUGGCCCAAGUCCUUGGGACCCUGCACCCGCAUGGGAAACCUGGAAGAAGCUCCUGGCUCCUGGCUUCAGAUUGGCACAGCUCCGGCCGUUGUGGCCAAUUGGGGAGUGAACCAUCGGAUGGAAGACCUCUCUCUCUCUCUCUCUCUGCCUCUCCUCUCUCUGUGUAACUCUGACUUUCAAAUAAUAAAUAAAAUAAAUCUUUAAAAAAAAUAAAGAAAGGGAGCCACGGUCCAGAAGCAACCCAGAAGGAGCCCAACACUCUGGGUGAAAAAUGCUGUCAUUCAUUCAACAUUACAUCACUGAUUUUACUUGCUGGAUAUUUCUCUGAUCCAACCCCAGCUCCAUAAAUUUAGUUUUAGGUCACUGUAAUCUUUUCUUCCUAAGUGGUCAUCUCAUGCGCAUUCUUGGUCUUCUCAGGUUCAUCCUGUAAGUUUAAGAGUGGUGUUUCAAUGAUGUAAAUCUUAGCCUGUUUAAAACUCUCCAGUGCUUUCCCUAAAUCCUUGGAAUAAAGCCCGUAAAUCAACACACUUGUGAUAAAGUUUAAUUUCUGAAUUAGGCGCUGUAUGAGAUGAACAGCAAUGACUGAUGAAGAAAUAGAACAAGUAUAAUAAUACACUGCAGAAAGUUAUCUGAAACUGAAGAAUCUCACCGUCGUUAGCCAUGGCCUCGCAGGCCCUACCUAGCCUGUUUGUCAUCGUCUCGUCUCUCCUCCCUCCGGAGCGUCAUCAGUGUCACCCCGUGCCGGGUGCUUGCCUCCGCCCGAGUGUUCCUUAUGCCUGCAACCUUCCCGUCCCUUUGGCUGGCAGCCAGCAGCUCCUCAGGCCGUAGGGCUGGGUUUGAAGCACCCUUCCUCCGCCCCCUCUUCACUAACUCCCAUGCUACAGACUCCGUAGCUUUUUCUCUAACACUUAUCCCAAGAAUGUGUGCCAUGGUCAAUCCGCUUACUUCCCUGCUAGACUGAAAAUCCUGGGGGCCUCGUGCAGUCACAGAUGACAUUGAUCUCCCUUUCUGGCAACCCAGCAUCUGAACUUCCGCUGCUGACUCAAUCACAUUAUGGAGCCUGGUGGGGCGGGCUGGGGGUGGGGCAGGGCACUUUCCCCACCUCUGUUGCAGGCGGAACCUAAGGGAUCCCCGAGUCAGGCACGUGUAGAGGAUUUGGGCUCAAGAGCUGGUUAUGCAGGAGGAAAGCUUUGGGAAACUCACUUCUCCCCUCUGGGCAGAAGCAGCGGUGGGGGCGCCGUGGGGUUGUCCCUGGGACAUGGGCAGCUUUGGUGCUGGCGACUGUGGUGGCUGCAGAGUAAGGUCCUGGCAGUGCCUGGUGUUCAGCAGGGCCCAUCGCUCGGGAGUGGCUCUCCAGGCCCCAGUGCUCGCAUCAGCGGCUAAUGGCAUUUCCAACCCUUAUCUGCUUCCAGAUCGGAGGACACCACAAUGCACCAGUCAGAACCAAUACCCGACCCCAGCCUUCAGCCUACUGUUGCAGCGGUCCCUGGCGUGGGGUACACACGCCGGGAGUUUGUGCAGGCAAAAGAGUGCAUGAGACAACGAGGUUGUGGCGCUUUGCUAAACUGAAGAUCCCUUAUUCUUACAGAAAAUUCACACAUAAAACCUAUUCUCUAUCUUACAUUGGAAGAGCAAAAGUCACAAAUUGGCAACGGCUGGAAAUUGAUGUUGGAAAUUUUUUUCUUUCCUUUUUUUUUUUUUUUUUUUUAAGGAGCAACCCAGGCUAGAACCCGGCGCCCAUAUGGGAUGCUGGCGCCGCAGGUGGAGGAUUAACCAAGUGAGACAGGGCGCCGGCCCCGAUAUUGGAAAUUUCUUUAAGGUUGUGCUCGCUGCAUUUAUCCUCCGUUUGUUUUUUCACUAGGAAAAAAAUCCUAUGCCUAAAAGGACAAACUGUUGGCUUGGCGAGCAAGGGGGCUGGACACCAAGCCAAAGGAAUUCAAGGGCUGCUCUGUAGUAAGGAACAUGGGGCAGAGCCUGGGUCUUCUGUGUAAUGUGAAUUUUCUCUUCCUGAUGCCAAAAUCGCAGCUGCCUCAAGUGAGCCUCGUGAGGAUUAAGCUGGAGAACGGAAGCACUCAGGUGUCAGAUGGGUGUGACCUCAGAUGUCAGCCUCGCCGCAGUGUGAAAGCUACCUGCACUCAGUACAAACCGCACUUUAAACUCUGAAGGCCGAAUUUUCCCAACUCAACCUAAGGGCUCCCUCGGUGUCUCCAGUCUUCCUCCUCACCCUUCUCUGCCUCCCUCAAGACAGUGAUCGGUAGCUUGGCUGGCCAACACAGCCAUGUUUAAGAAGCCGGCGAUCCCGGCGGUGCGUUCAUGCAGCCUCACCCUGACUCCAAGCCUCCCAGACGCGCGCUCUUUGACCAGAACCUUGGCGCGCUUCGGAAAGCAUGCCGUCAGGGGAACGAGCUUUCAGAAACGGCUGGGGUGAAAGCUCAUUGAUAAAACCGAAUCUGAGGCCCGCGCCGCGGCUCACUAGGCUAAUCCUCCACCUAGCGGCGCCAGCACACCAGGUUCUAGUCCCAGUCGGGGCGCCGGAUUCUGUCCCGGUUGUCCCUCUUCCAGGCCAGCUCUCUGCUGUGGCCAGGGAGUGCAGUGGAGGAUGGCCCAAGUCCUUGGGCCCUGUACCCCAUGGGAGACCAGGAUAAGUACCUGGCUCCUGGCUUCGGAUCAGCGCGGUGCGCCGGCCGUGGUGGCCAAUGGAGGAUGAACCAACAGCAAAGGAAGACCUUUCUCUCUGUCUCUCUCUCUCACUGUCCACUCUGCCUGUCAAAAAAAAAAAAAAAAAAAAAAAAACCGAACCUGCAGAUGCUCAAAUGCACAGCCAGAACCUCGGAAUUUAUCUUUACCCAAGGGCUUUCAGAUCCACAUAAAACAGCAUAAGCCAGGCUGACAACACUGCCUCAUGUUGGAUCUGGCUCUGUCUUGCUCCCCCGGAUCUACCGGGAAGAAUAUUAAUUAUUGCAGGAGUUACUGUUCUGUCUAAAAGCUUUGAGUUUUUCAGGAUACAAACUGAUGCUUCAGAACUCUUCCGGAAACAUUAAGAAACCCCAGGUGCUUGAUUUAGAAGGAGACUGGCUCCUGGGAAGUGGCUUUGCUUCAUGUUGGCAUCCCAGCUCUGUCAUUUAUUGCACUUGAUCUUAAAGGCCCAGAAGCAAAUUUGUCAUUUAUUAAUGCUGUGACGUGGGCCAGUUAUCAAACACUGCUGAGCCCUGCUCCCUUUACCUGCACAAAAGAAGCUGCUGGGACAGCCAAAAAGAAGCCCUUCGUGGAGGAAGGUGUCCUCGGCCAGUGACACAGAGGUAAACAAAACAUCUCAGGCCCUCUGGCCCUUUCUUCCUAGGUUGAAUUUGAGCCCAAACACUUGCAAUGUGUAGCUAUCUUAUUCCAGCCCAUGCAGUGGAAUAAUGUUACAUAAAUAACUUUGCAUGGCUAGAAUUACCCCAGUCCUGUGUUUAAUGUCCUGCCAGCCAGCCUUGUGGGGCCUCCAAUCCCAUUAUUCAAUACAAAAAUGACCACACAGCCCUGCUUGGCUUGUGACAAUUCCAGGACAAACCCCAACAGAGGACAAGACCACAUUUUAUAAACAGGGCAUGAGCUGAUGGAUUUAAAUUGCAUUUUUUUAGAAAAGAUUUAUUUAUUUAAUUAAAAGUCAGCGUUUCAGAGAGGUAGAGAGAGACAGAGAGAGAUGUCUUCCAUCUGCUGGUUUAUUCCUGGGACCAAAGCCAGGCGCCAGGAGUUCCUUCUGGGUCUCCCAUGUGUGUGCAAGGGUCCAAGCACUUGGACCAUCAUUUCCCGCUGCUCUCCAGGCCAUUAGCAGGGAGCUGGAUUGGAAGUGGUGCAGCCAGGACUCAAACCAACGCCCUUGUGGGAUGCCGAUGCCGCAGGUGGCAACUUUACCUGCUGUACCACAACAUCAGCCCCCUAGAAGUUUAAGCCAUCAGUUUGAUCCAUGUCACUUUGGAUUGUAGGUUCUUUGAGUUCUAGUCUCCUUAAGUGUUUCUUUUUUAAAAUUUAUUUAUUUAUUUGUUUGAAAGUCAGAGUUACACAGAGAGAAAAGAAGCAGAAAGAGAGGUCUUCCAUCUGAUGGUUCACUCCCCAGUUGGCCACAACGGCUGGAGCUGUGCUGAUCCAAAACCAGGAGCCAGGAGCUUCCCCCAGGUCUCCCAUGUGGGUGCAGGGGCCCAAGGACUUGGGCCAUCUUCUACUGCUUUCCCGGGCCAUAGCAGAGAGCAAGAUUGGAAGUGGAGCAGCUGGGUCUCGAACCAGCGCCCAUAUGGGAUGCGGCACUUUAGGCCAGGCUGCGCCACAACACCAGUCCCGUCUUUGGUUUCUUACAGAGUUUCCUCUUCUCUCUCAAAAACAGAAAUCUGAGAAUGUGGUGUUACUCUGCACAGCUUGUGGCUCAGUCCUUCCUGAGGCCUGACCAGCUCAGUCUGAUGAAACCAUCUUGAAACUAGUUUGUGUUGAAAAUGAAACUUGGGUGGGAGGGCACUGCUACGGCGCAUGGGUUAAAGUCCCAGUCUGCAGCGCCAGGAUUCCAUAAGGGUUCCGGUUCGAGUCCUGGCUGCUCCACUUCCAAUCCAGCUCUCUGCUGUGGCUUGGGAAAGCAGUAGAUGAUGGUGCAAUCGGCGCAGCUCUGGCCAUUGCAGCCAUCUGGGGAGUGAACCAGUGGGUAGAAGACCUCUCUCUCGCUCUCUCUGCCUUGCCUUUCUGUAAUUCUGCCUUUCAAAUAAAUAAGUGAAUCUAAAAAGAAAGAAAGAAAGAAAGAAAGAAAGAAAGAAAGAAAGAAAGAAAGAAAGAAAGAAAGAAAGAAAGAAAGAAAGAAAGAAAGAAAAUGAGACUUGGUAAUUUUCAGUCUUUUUAGCAUUCGAGAUGUGAGCAGCCUACUAUCAAUUUUGGGAACUGGUGGACUCGUCCAAGGCAUGGACUUUGCCGGAGGAACACAGCCCCUGAGGGAACCAGACAAGAGCAGACGGGUCCGACCUCAGAUCAUCUUAGCCUCGCCACGGUGUGAAAGCGACACACACUCAGUAGAAACCGCACUUUCAACUCUGAAGGCGGAACUUUUCCCAAGCCAGUGACAGGCUGCGUGAUGCUUCGAUGCUGCUGCGAGCCCUCCCCUCGUCCCCCCUCCCCCGUCCCCGCGGGUGAGCACCCUCAGUCCAGUGGUCCACAUUCAGUGAGUUAGACUUGCCAUCAGAGAAGCUUAUUUGGUAACACACAAUGUGUUAUCCUGCCACUAUUGUCCAUGCAAGUGCCCCAAGCAUACUUUAGCAAGCCUGGGUAGUUUUAUUCCAUGCAUUUUCAGCUUACACUGUGUUCAAUUUACGAUGGCUUUAGCAGGUGUCAUCCAUUUAAGUCAGGACAGUUCAGCGUGACAGGUGCCACAGUGGUGUACAUGCCAGAAGUCUGGGUGAGUGUGGAGAAGUCAACAACCUGGUUGGGGGAGGGGUGGGAGAGGAACCUCUGAGCUGAGCCCUGAAAAAUGCUGAGGGUGGGGUGUGGCUCAAAGUCCACGUUACACUCCCUGACAGGGGACAGGCCACUGGGAGGGGAGGCUGGAGGUUGGCAGGCCUGGCUGCCACUUGAGGGAACUUGAACUUCACCCCCAAGUCAAAGGGGGAACCACUUGUGGAUUUCAAGAGUUCCAUGAUGUGAUCAGAUUUGUAUUUUAGGACAACUACUGUGGCUGCUGAGGGAAACGCCUAGAGCAGCACGGUCCAGUCAGGACCCCACGGCACUCUCCGGGCAGCCCAGCCAAGCAGCCCAGCGCCUGACUCAACACAGGGGAGGGUGAGCUGUUUCCAAGGGGACUGCCUGGAAUCCGGCGGGGGAAGAGAAGCAGCAGUCUCCUGGUGUGGAGCUGGAGGGGUGCUUGUGCCUUUCACAGACAUCCAGCAAAGGGGGAGCAGGGGGGCAGAGCUGGGCAAGGCUGGGCAGCAGAGUCUGAAAUGCCCACGCACGUGCCGGGGUGGUGUGUGGGCGGGGCUUAAUCUCGGGGUCUGGAGGUCAGCAGGCAUCCAGGCCAUGAAUCGCAUCUGCCUGCGAUAAAUCGCUUUGAGAACUUUUUAAAAUAGUGUUUGUUGCCUUAACUAUGUCCAGUUUCUCCUCACUCAUACUAGGAGUGGGAGCAGAGGACAGGACAAUGCAUAGUGGAGUGGAGGUGGAAUUCACUGAGGCUGGGGAGACCGGGGGACUCUGGUUUCUGGUAAAGUGUUCCAGUGAUAUAAGCUGCGGAAAAGGUGUAGGCUUUGGGGCUGGCGUUAUGGUGCAGCGUGUUAAGCCGCCACCAGCAUCCCACAUGAGCACCUGUUCAAGUCCCAGUGGCUCCUUUUCCCAUCCAGCUCCCCACUAAUGCACACGGGAAAGCAGUGCCACCCACGUGGGACACCAGGCUCCUGGCCCAGGUCACUGCGGCCAACUGGGGAGUGAACCAGCACAUGGAAGAUACCUCUCAGUCACUCUUUCAAAUAAACACAUAAUCUUUAAAAAGAAAGAAAAGGUAUAGUGUUUACUAAGUGGUAACCAAGGAAUUUCGGGUGAGAUUUGUAAUACCUCUUCCCCCACCGUUUUCAACCCCAUUUUGCUUAGGCAAACUUCAGAUCUGCAUUUUAAAGUCUAAGAAUUGACAGCAGCUUAACCAUCCAUUUGCAUAUUAUUUAUAGGACUUGGCAUUGCCCAUUCACUUUUGAUGAGCUGUUUUCUCAACCAGAGAAAUGAGGCCUCUGGCAGAACUGGUUUUCCCUUCAAUCUGUGCGCCGGAUACUGUUAGGACCUUUGAUUUUAUUUUUGUGAUUCUAGGUAAGAGACAGUAAUAAAGGACGUGGGAAUCUUAACAAAUUCUGUUCCCUCCCUCUGAAAGAGUUCACUCAGUUGCAUAAUUGGCUUACAACUGUGCUAAUACUUUGAUUUUCAUACUUCUCGUGGAGGGGAGUGCAUAUAUCAAUCAAGGGGUAAAAGAUGUGAAGGUUAAAGCAGCCAGAAUAAGGCCGAAGGCUUAUUGAAGAGAAAGCAUUUAUGAUUUGUAAUCUGUUUAACCCAACUACCCAGAAUUCACAUUUUUCUCUGCACUGUGGUCCAUCAUCUCGGUCCACUUACCCUAAGGCACAAAGCAGGAAUUUAAAAUACACGUACACACGACCGAUCUCCUGCCCAAUGCACAAUUUAUAAAGUGCCCACAGUGCCUAUUCCUAGGUCACCCAUUCUCAAUCCUGCUUUUUAGCCUGAACCUUGUAAUUUACUAACAGCAAUUACAUAAUUAAAACACUACCUCAUGCAACCUCUUGCUUUGCAAGUGACAGACAAGUUCAAGAGCAUCGAGCUGGCCAGCCUGAGAGGUGGCAGAACCCCGUGGGGGCUUCCAGCUUAGUCAAGGUCACUGACACUUUUGGUUGGUGCCAGGGAAUGACGGCAGAAUGGGUGACGCUUCUAGGAGUUGAGCGUUGGUUCCGGUCUCCAUUCAGAUCAGGAGAUACUGAGGAGAACAGCCUCUGCCCCAGGCUCCUCUGGAGACCUCGUCUUCAAGAGAAAACAGAACCACCACACGUGGCUCUCUCCUGCUAGCCACUAACAUUGCCGCCCUUUCCCACCUCUCAUUUUCCAACAAGAAUGUUCAGUUUAUAUGUUUUGUGGACUUCCUCUUCCCAGGGUUCAUCCCCCAUCCAAGGACUUGGGCCUAUUCCCUCCUACUUACUUCAUGAGUGGAAACGAACAUACUCCACUCUCAUUAUUUAUCUGCUCCCUUGUUCCUUUAAAUACUUCCCUUUGAUCUCACUUCUUAGCCUGCAAGCUUAUUAUCCCUGUACCCUAACCGAAGCCAACAAUCCUACCAUCUAGUCUCCUCUUUGAAAUUUCCUCCACUUCCUUGCUAUUCACCCGCUGCCCCCGUGCAGUCUGAUCUAGAGUCCCUGAUACUCCUACGGAUAAAAUGCUCUUGCAAAAGGUGGGCUAUGAUCCAGCUGCCAGUCCACAAGCUUCUCUUCAAUUCAUCUAUCUCACCACGAAAUGUGACAGCACUGGUCAGCCCCCCUCCUUUGGGAGGUCCUCCUACCAUACUAAUUAUAUAAUUCACCUCCUUGAGCUCCUCUGCUGCUCCUUCUUCAAAAUGUUGGGCUUCACAGCUACUUUGAGAACUCCAGUGCGAUCAUGUAUCUACAGCAUGUGUGUCUGCGUGUGUGUUUCAUUUCCACUCCAGACAUUUCUCCUGUGUUCUAGUUCUACUUGGUAAGUGUCCUCUGGUUUUGUCCAAUCAAAUGUUCCCCUCAACACUUCAUAUUCAAUAUACUCCAAGCUGGAAUUCUUUCCUCUCCUUACUUAAUUAUUGACAUCAAUACAGGUUCAGGCCAAAAAAAACUAAACCCCACCAAAACCAGAAGGCGACACCUGCCUUGCUUCUUAUCAGUUCCCUUCUGUUUUGCUAACCCCAGAGGUACAGGCAGGGCAAGCUCUAGUUAUUCCUACCUGCAGAGCUGAGUGAUCUCCUUGCCUCUUUACAAUGUGGCAUGGUCCUUGAAGACAGCUCUUAAAUCAUUUCCCUGUUUAAAUAAAGUAAUAAACCCACGGAGUAUCCUGCUGACUAUACAACCAAGUGGGACCUCUAGAAGAGCGUAUGAAUCUCAACCACAUUCAACACUAACCCACAUUUUCAGUUUCCUCGCUAUCCAUGUUUUCCGGCCACGCUGAACUUCUGCUAUUUCUGGAACGCAUCUCACAGGUGUCAGUGGCUGCCAUUCCCUUUACCAGGCAUACUCUCGACUCCUCUCUGAACUUGGUGAAGCCUGCUAUGGUCUCCCCACGGGAACAGCCUGUAGCUGCUGGCAGAACGACGCUCUGCAGGCUCCAGUGCACGGUGCUUCCUGCACGCUGCUAGUACAGCACGCACCCCCCCAUCACAGAGUGGGGGUCACCUCCCCAAGGUGGGAGCCUGGGAGGGCAGAAGCCCUGCCUACUGCUCUGGUGCAGCGAGAGGUGCUGGUUUUUGGAGAACUUGAGGUGGAAAGCUCUGUGUGUACAGGAGGCCUUGUCACCAAGCAACACACAUAACAUAAAAAUGAUCAAGUGACAGAAGAAGUUUUGUGAGAGCUUUAAUGGCACAAAAUGUUUAUAGCUACAAGUUAUACAUGUAUUGUAAACUGUAUAUAAUGAUACAAAGUGCUAACUAAAUAGAUGAAGAAUGCAUAAUCACUUUGGCUCAGUUAUUUCCAAUCAUUUCAAAAACUGGUUCAUUUAUAAGUUCAUCUGUCUGGCUGAGUCUUCUGUUUCCAUUGUUCAGAAUGGUAAAUGUUCUUACUGCACUCAAAGUAACUUGUUGCACGAUUCAAUGAGCAAGUCUGUACGGCUUUGAUUCUAUUUACAAGUAUUUUAAGCCAGUUUUCUUCACACGUAAGAAAAAUGAAGCCUGCCUUUUCACCCCAAAUUGUAAACAGGUGUAAAGCUUCUUAAACAUUGAUCUGAAAAUUUCAACUGUUAAUUGUUGAGUUCACCUUCCCAAAGAGGCGAUCUGUUUCCGUUCGAUGCAAAUCUGGAUCGGAACAUGUUCAUCCAUCCCUUAUGUCAGGGCUACCAAUAAAGACUGCAUGAUCCCACCUUGUAAGCUGUACUCUGAUGAUAUAUUCAUAUUUUAAGUAAUACCCUAUAAUUUCACACUUUUAAAAAGGGAAAAAUUAAAUAUUUUCAAUGCUGAAAAAAACCAAAAAUAUAUCCAGGUUCAACUGCACUGACAGAAUUGCUACCAAAUUUCAAAAGCGGCAACGAGCCGCCGGUGAAAAGUGGCUCUCAUUUAGAGCAGUUUUCUUUUUCCCUGACACCAACUGUAGUACAAACUGUGUAUGUUAGCAGUUUAGCUACUCAGUUCUCUUUAAGUUCAUCAGCCUUUCCAAUUUUAUUCAAAAUCAGUGAGCCGUCAGAUUUACUUCCCAAAGAAAGUCAAAUAUGAACACUUGAAAUAAAUAGAUUUCAGAAGGCAAAUCAAGUGUUACCAGGUUUGAGUAAGACAGAAACAGGUAUAAUAAAAACAUUCAUAAUUUUUUAGACUUCUUCUAAUGCUAGAAAGAAAAAUAAAGAACUCAAAAAACUAGUUUAGAAAUAUCUUCUUUCUUAAUAUCUGACUAUAUUCUUGAAAAAAAGUAGAAAUUUUUUUUAUCAGUAUGUUAUUUCCCACUGUAACACAUCAAUUUUACAAAGCUUGAUGUGAGAGAAUUAAUUUCUGUGAACUGUCAAACCUGGCUGUCAUAGUGUUUUUACUCGUCAACCUGAUGCACUUUAAAGAUUGCUAGCUUUAAAAUUAACAAUGGUUCUCUAAAUACUGAAUAGGAAUGUUUACAUCAUAAACAGUAAUUAUUUAUAUAGAAAACAUAUAGUAGUAUCCUUCCGAGUCAGGCUAUGUGUUCUGCAAUCCAAUAAAAUCUACUUGAAAUAACUGGUCAAUCUGGUGCUUGUGAACAAUUUGGUCCUAAAGCUUCACAUUUUAGAAACAAAGAAAAAAAAAAUGUCACUGAAGGAAUCUGUUUAGUAUUCCCAAACUCAAAGAGUUUAGCCUAACAGAAAAGAUGGCUCCAUGAGAAAAUGACCUGUGCCUGCAAAGUCACAGGAAUCACCUUGGGAAGACUGCACGGUAAACAGGAACGAAGGGAGAGAUCAGAGGAAACACAUGGCAGCUUUCCAGGACUGUGCCAGCUGUUCCCACAAGCCAAGUCUGGUUCUCAGAGUUGCACAAGUGCCGGGAAUAACUCUGAAACAAGGAUCUUCAGAGCUGAAAGGCUGCAGAGCGUAAGUGAUGCUUCCUAAAACAAGAAGCCUGUAGUAUCACCACAAAUUGGAACUCAUUCCAAAGUCUCUUCUUAGAGAAAACAAUUAAGAAAUAAAAAAAAUUAAAGUCAUGAAAAAUUCACAUGCAGCUAA